rnacentral:rRNA from 1 species
GACGAAGGUGGCGAGCGUUGUUCGGAAUCACUGGGCAUAAAGCGCACGUAGGCGGCUAGGUAAGUCGGAUGUGAAAUACCUCGGCUCAACCGAGGAACUGCGUCCGAUACUGCCUGGCUUGAGGUCCGGAGGGGAGAGUGGAAUUCCCGGUGGAGCGGUGAAAUGCGUAGAGAUCGGGAAGAACGCCGGCGGCGAAAGCGACUCUCUGGUCGGAAUCUGACGCUGAGGUGCGAAAGCGUGGGGAGCAAACAGG